AUUCAGCUGACGAGUCCGAAAUGGGACGAAACGCGCGUCCUGGAU
rnacentral:hammerhead_ribozyme from 1 species